CCAAAAUUAAUUACUGUGUGGGAACUAAUGAUAAGAUGACACACUUCCAAUGGAUGGAUGGUAUUAUCCUUGGGAAUAAAGAAGCUACUAGUUGGGUAGUUAGUGGUCCGGGAGUGAAUAGACAUCAAAUUAUUAAAGGCUCUUUGAAUUUUUUGGUAAAAGCAUGGUAGCAACUUGCUAGAAAUAGACUGUGCCCCACAACUGAGGACAACAUGAUCAAUCUAGUCCAUAAAACAUUGAUAGACAAAAUCAUGGCAGGGUAUGAUUUUGAUGUAGGCUAGUUUAUUGCAUGAGAGAUUCGUGAUAGGGCGGUUAGUAAUAAUGUGGUUUUAGAAUUCCUGUGCUUAUUGAUGCAAAUAUGCUUGGAGGCUGGUGUGCUAGAACUUAUGAAUGUGGAUAAAUUCAUUGAUCCAAAGAACAUCACGGACUUACGAUUGAUUCGUAAUGCUGCAAACCCUAUGUCCAAGUAGGCUAAGCAAGGAGCAACUUUAUUAGCUGAUGCACUUUGGAAUAAAGAUUUGAGUACUGAUACUAUUGGAUUCACCCAUAUAGGUGACAUUCCUGAUGAGACUAGGCCAUUUGAGCCCCAUCCUUUUGAUGUAGCUGGUACCUCCAGUACCCCUACUCUACCUCCAACUGCAGCACCGAGACCAUCCACAUCCAGGUCAGUUCUGGCUGGCUAUAUAAUAGUGCUGUAGUCUUUCAUAACCAACAUAAUAAAAAGAUUGAGCAUCGUGGAUAUAAAGAUACGAUUAAUGGAGAAGGUAGUUCAACCCUGGGUUUAUAAGAGGAUACUAGAACAAACAGGAUGCUUUAGAUAAGAUUUGACAAUUUUGAGCAACAAAUUGCAUGACAACUUGAGGGUGACUGAGAUAGAAGAGUUGCAGAAUUUAAUCAAUGAAUUACAUGAGUGGCUGGUUUACUCCAUCCCGAUCAUUAAGAAGAUCUAGAUAGAAAAAGAAGUCAAAAAUAUCUUGGGUGUUGAUGAUUCGAUCCCCGAGGGUAAUGCUGAAGUUGAAAAAGAAGAAAGGAAGAGAAGGAAGAACAAGAAAGAAAGAGAUGAAGCACAGAAGAAAAAAAUAUUAAGGCGACAAAAAUAAUGAGUGAGCAGAGUGAGACGGGCUGGGAGGUAAGGGUCUGCCAGAUGGCUAUAGGGGCGAGUAGUUUGAAAUAGAAUGAGGCUGUAUGACCCUACUCCCUAAUCCAACACUGAGUGUACCAGCCACCACUAGUGCAAUGAUUACUGAGGAGGUCCCAACGGUUGUUGGGACCACUAUUGAUGAGAGUAGGGCCCGGUCUUAGGGCCCCCAUGCUAAUGAUGCUUUAUUCGAUGCCUAGUGUGCCCAGGGAAAUUAGGUAGGAAGUGGAAUGGACUGAAAAAUGGAAGAAAGUACUCCCAAAAAGUAAGAUACUGGCUAGGCUAUGAGUUAUCAAGUCACCUUACAGCUCAUAUCCCAAUUUGUAAUGAAAGGCUUCGAGUCAUAAAGUCUACUACGGCUUAUAGUAGAAAAUCAUAGGGUGACUAGAUUCUGAAGAAUUGAAGUUUGAGGCUUCAGUAGCUACAAGUGAAAACUAUGAGUCAUAAUGUCUAAGUACGACUUUUGGUGAGGAGUCGUAAAGACCAUAGACCCAAGUGACCUGAGGAAGAGGAGAUACUAUAGUGACUACAACUAGCAACAUAUAACUUAUAAUGUGACUGUAUAAUUCAUAGCCACUAAAGAGAUAUGACAAUAGCCAGUGAGUCGUAAGGAUACAUAAUGACUCGUUGGCAGAGAUGUGACCACUGUCGACCUAGUUUUCCUAUUCUAUUUUAACUAGGAUUUCUUUGUUAUUUUGAGACAAACCCUAAGGUUAUGUAUUUAUUAUGUAAACACUUUUCAUAAUUUUCUA